GCGGUGGAGCAUGUGGUUUAAUUCGAUGAUACGCGAGGAACCUUACCUGGGCUCAAAUGUAUGUUGACGUAUUCUGAAAGGGAUACUUCUUCGGACAAUAUACAAGGUGCUGCAUGGUUGUCGUCAGCUCGUGCCGUGAGGUGUCGGGUUAAGUCCCAUAACGAGCGCAACCCCUAUCAUUAGUUGCCAUCAGGUCAAGCUGGGGACUCUAAUGAAACUGCCUACGCAAGUAGUGAGGAAGGUGGGGAUGACGUCAAAUCAGCACGGCCCUUACGUCCAGGGCUACACACGUGCUACAAUGGCCGGUACAAAGGGCAGCUACCUGGUGACAGGAUGCUAAUCUCAAAAGCCGGUCUCAGUUCGGAUCGGAGUCUGCAACCCGACUCCGUGAAGUUGGAUUCGCUAGUAAUCGCGCAUCAGCCAUGGCGCGGUGAAUACGUUCCCGGGCCUU
rnacentral:rRNA from 1 species